rnacentral:rRNA from 1 species
AUUGAACGCUGGCGGCAGGCCUAACACAUGCAAGUCGAGCGGUAGCACAGAGAGCUUGCUCUCGGGUGACGAGCGGCGGACGGGUGAGUAAUGUCUGGGAAACUGCCUGAUGGAGGGGGAUAACUACUGGAAACGGUAGCUAAUACCGCAUAACGUCGCAAGACCAAAGAGGGGGACCUUCGGGCCUCUUGCCAUCAGACUUGCCCAGCUGGGAUUAGCUAGUAGGUGGGGUAACGGCUCACCUAGGCGACGAUCCCUAGCUGGUCUGAGAGGAUGACCAGCCACACUGGAACUGAGACACGGUCCAGACUCCUACGGGAGGCAGCAGUGGGGAAUAUUGCACAAUGGGCGCAAGCCUGAUGCAGCCAUGCCGCGUGUAUGAAGAAGGCCUUCGGGUUGUAAAGUACUUUCAGCGGGGAGGAAGGUGUUGAGGUUAAUAACCUCAGCAAUUGACGUUACCCGCAGAAGAAGCCCCGGCUAACUCCGUGCCAGCAGCCGCCGUAA